rnacentral:lncRNA from 1 species
AUUUGAUUUAGGAUUUGGUUAGGAUUUUAUUUAGGGUUUAGAAUUUAGUUAGGAUUUGGUUUAGGAUUUAGGAUUUAGGAUUUGGAUUAGGAUUUGAUUUAGGAUUUAGAUUAGGAUUUGAUUUAAGUUUUAGGAUUUAGUUUAGGAUUUGGGAUUUAGGAUUUAUUAAGGGUUUAGGGUUUGAUUAGGAUUUGGUUUAAGAUUUAGGGUUUAGUUUAGGAUUUGGUUAGGAUUUUAUUUAGGAUUUGGUUAGGAUUUUAUUUAGGAUUUAGGAUUUGGGUAGGGUUUGAUUUAGGAUUUAGGGUUUGGAUUAUGAUUUGGUUAGGAUUUGAUUUAGAGUUAGGAUUUUUUUUAGGAUUUGAUUAGGAUUGGAUUUAAGAUUUGCUUGGGAUUUGGUUUAAGAUUUGUUUAGGGUUUGAUUUAUGAUUUAGGAUUUUAUUAGGAUUUAAGAUUUAAUUAAUUUUGGCCUAAAGUUUGAAUGAAGCUCAAUAGGAUUUUAACUAGAAUUAAAUUAAG